rnacentral:rRNA from 1 species
UACGAAGGGGGCUAGCGUUGCUCGGAAUCACUGGGCGUAAAGGGUGCGUAGGCGGGUUUUUAAGUCAGGGGUGAAAUCCUGGAGCUCAACUCCAGAACUGCCUUUGAUACUAAGAUCUUGAGUCCGGGAGAGGUGAGUGGAACUGCGAGUGUAGAGGUGAAAUUCGUAGAUAUUCGCAAGAACACCAGUGGCGAAGGCGGCUCACUGGACCGGCAUUGACGCUGAGGUGCGAAAGCGUGGGGAGCAAACAGG